UACAGAGGUGGCAAGCGUUGUUCGGAAUUACUGGGCGUAAAGGGCGCGUAGGCGGCCUCGUAAGUCCUUUGUGAAAUCCCCCGGCUCAACUGGGGAACUGCACAGGAUACUGCAAGGCUCGAGUUCGGGAGAGGGAAGCGGAAUUCCGGGUGUAGCGGUGAAAUGCGUAGAUAUCCGGAGGAACACCAGUGGCGAAGGCG
rnacentral:rRNA from 1 species